UUUCCGGUUGAUCCCGCCGGACCCCACUGCUAUCGGGGUGGGACUAAGACAUGCUAGUCGUGCGCCUCCAAGCCACGGUGGAGGCGCGGCGCACAGCUCAGUAACACGUGGCUAACCUACCCUUGGGACGGGGACAACCCCGGGAAACUGGGGCUAAUCCCCGAUAGGUGAGGACUCCUGGAAUGGGUCCUCGCCGAAAGGGCGUCUAGACCAUGCUUCUAGGCGCUGCCCAAGGAUGGGGCCGCGGCCGAUCAGGUAGUUGGUGAGGUAACGGCUCACCAAGCCUAAGACCGGUACGGGCCGUGAGAGCGGGAGCCCGGAGAUGGACACUGAGACAAGGGUCCAGGCCCUACGGGGCGCAGCAGUCGCGAAACCUCCGCAAUACGCGAAAGCGUGACGGGGCCACCCCGAGUGCCGUCCGCUGAGGACGGCUUUUCCCCAGUGUAGACAGCUGGGGGAAUAAGGGGAGGGCAAGUCGGGUGUCAGCCGCCGCGGUAAUACCCGCUCCCCGAGUGGUGGGGACGCUUAUUGGGCCUAAAGCAUCCGUAGCCGGCUGGAUAAGUCCCCUGUUAAAUCCAGCGAUUCAAUCGCUGGACUGCGGGGGAUACUGUCCAGCUAGGGGGCGGGAGAGGCCGGCGGUAUUCCCGGGGUAGGGGUGAAAUCUUAUAAUCCCGGGAGGACCACCAGUGGCGAAGGCUGCCGGCUGGAACGCGCCCGACGGUGAGGGAUGAAAGCUGGGGGAGCGAACCGGAUUAGAUACCCGGGUAGUCCCAGCUGUAAACGAUGCGGGCUAGGUGUUGGCACGGCUACAAGCCGUGUCAGUGCCGCAGGGAAGCCGUUAAGCCCGCCGCCUGGGGAGUACGGCCGCAAGGCUGAAACUUAAAGGAAUUGGCGGGGGAGCACCACAAGGGGUGAAGCUUGCGGUUUAAUUGGAGUCAACGCCGGG
rnacentral:rRNA from 1 species